GAAGAUGUCAUUCCCAACCAGUUGAAUUUCUUGUGAGGUUCGCCACUUACAUGAUGCAAGUCUGCAUGUUCAUUUGUUUUCUCUCUUUUUGCAGAGCAAACCUUUGGAAACCCACAAAAUCCGCACAUGAAAUGUGUAACGUGGUUUUGUUAGGAAUGGGCAUAGACUGGCCCUGGACCGACUUGCUGAGUUCUUCCUGCGGCACGCAGUACGAGGUCAUGGUCAUCUUCUUCACAUUGUAUUGAGCACACCACUGCCAGAUCCACAUGGGCAUGUACAGACGGUCCUAAUCAUCGGCUUUCACAUGCCAUCAAGGAACACCACAUCCCCAUCCACACGAAUCCUCUUCCAGUCUUCCUUGGGUCAACUGUAAGCCCCUUUAGUGGACCGACCUGCUAAGGUCAUGGUCCUGGUCUUCUCCUUCACAUCCCAUCAAGGUACACCACUGCCACAUCCACAUCCACAUCCACAUGGGCAGCAUGAUUGAUCAUCUGCUUUCACAUGCCAUCCAAGCACACAGCAUCCAAAUCCACAUUCACACGAAUCCUCUUCCGGUCAUCCUUGGGUCAACUGUAAGUUUGUAACCAUUGCUAUAUAUAUGCAGCAAAGGAUACCUAGAAGAGAAGGCAC
rnacentral:lncRNA from 1 species